CUUUGUCAGCAACUGGAAAACUUACAGAAAACUAACUGUGAAAUGGCUCAGAAUUACGAAACUCAGCUUUGUGCGCUUAAAUCUCAAUUUUUGAAGCUGACACAUAGUUAUGACAAGCUAUUAAAACAAAAAAAUCGUCAAAGUAGAGAAAUAAGUAAAGAAAGCCCAGAGACAUCAUUUCAACUGAACAAUUUAAACAAGAAACUGGAGGAAUUUAAAGCAAAAUCAAGAGAAUGGGAUAAGAAAGGGACA
rnacentral:lncRNA from 1 species